rnacentral:rRNA from 1 species
AUUGAACGCUGGCGGCAGGCUUAACACAUGCAAGUCGAACGAGUGGCGGACGGGUGAGUAAUGUGUGGGCAGCUAGCUUAUGGAGGGGGAUAACUACGGGCAACUGUAGCUAAUACCGCGUACCAUAGGAUGAGCCCAAGUUGGAUUAGGUAGUUGGUGAGGUAAAGGCUCACCAAGCCACCGAUCCCUAGCUGGGCUGAGUGGAUGACCGUCCAACGUGGAAGUGGUACACGGCCCAGACUCCUCCGGGAGGAAGCAGUGGGGAUUAUUGCGCAAGGGGGGCAACCUGUGGCAGCAAUGCCGCGUGUAUGAAGCAGGCCUUCGGGUUGAAAAGUUCUUUCGGUGGCGAGGCGUUACCGGCAGAAGAAGCACCGGCUAACUCCGUGCCAGCAGCCGCGGUAAUAC